rnacentral:misc_RNA from 1 species
UGCUUCCAAAUGAAUUGUUGGAGUUGCAAACAAGUCCAGAUCAAGGGCUACCUUCCCAAAUUCUUGGUUUCUUUCUUCUUCAGUUCUUCUUCUUCUUCUUCUUAUGUUUGAAAGAAAAGAAAAGGCCAGAAUAAAUCACUUUCUCUCCCUCACCACUUGCACGGAGGUUGAUUGCAUAACAGUUGCCUUUCUAUGAAACGGGGAGGUGGAGUCCAGACUACAGGGGCCACCGACAACAAUUGAAUAUAGGGGCCGUGUCUACGAAGAAGACUGAAAGAGGCCCGACUUGAAGUGGAGGCACACCAAUCCACCAUCAAAUGGAGGUCAACUUGAGUUUGGAGUCAUCAUUUCAAUAGCCAUCGUGCAUUCAAUGAUGAAACAUUAGCAAUACAGGCAAGUCAUGAUAAUUCUAUACCAAUCCUGUGGUGCCAAGCUUAAGGACGUAUCACUAUGGACAGUUCAAAUCUUUGCUACUCAGCUCUUCCUAUAUCUUUAGUAUCGUUCACAAUCACACAGCGCCAGUGCAAUGCAAUUAAGCCUGAAUAUAAAGAUUGGUAUCAACACAUUCAACAUAAAGAAGCUCAACAAAUGACACAACAUCUAAUAGACAAAAUGGCAUACGUUUUAAUAUUAAAUUUCUAAUAUACCGCAUAUAUAUAUAUCUCAUUCUACUGAUGUUUCAUAACCUUACAACCGAUGCUUUUUACAAAGUAUACAAGACGCACAAUGGUUAAUGGCCUAAAAUCUACUUUCAGAAUACGAUAAGACAUAAAAGAAAGCAGCAGAAGAGGAAA